UCUCUUCUUUAAUUAAGAAAAUACUAUGCAAGGUUUCCAACCUAUGAAUAAUGGAGGUUGUAAAAUUUAGGGAUUUAGAGGAAGCUUAGGCGGUGGUCUCGGUGAACAGAGAGACGAAGAAGACAGGAUUUGAUUUUUUUAUUUGAUUUUUUUACCUCACAUGUGUUUUAUAUAUUUGUUGCCCCUAACAAUUUUUAUUGCCCUUAAGUUUCUCAUUAAUCACAAACAUGACAUUGUCAUAUUUUAUAACUUGUCCUCUCAAAAGUUCUAUUCUAUUCUAGUUUAAUUUUCUCUUAUCCCACUAACUAAUCCUUAACAUAUUUAAGGACUCUCACCAAUUAGGUACUAAUUGGUCUUUCUUAAAUUCUCGGGUAUUACAAUCUAUUCCCCUUAAAGUAAAUUUCGAGGACGAAAUUUUGUACUACUCAACAAUCUGAUUUUCCGCUGCGUACUCUGAUCAACUAAUAACCCUACCUGUCAUUCUAAGCUUUAACACAUUCCUCUCCAAUCUCUACACAUACUUCCACAACUUCAAUAAUCAACCGAACAUGGUAUUUUGAGAUAUGACCAAUAAGCCUAAACCGAUCUAAAAAUAAUGCAGAAAAUCCAUUAGCCUCCUAAGCUAGUAGAGAUGACACCUACCAACUUGACACAUAUAAUUAUCUACACUACUUAUAUGGCUUUUUGCAUCAACCUUUCUCCUAAUCCAUUGAAAUGAUACAACCUAAAGGAUACCUCCCAACACAACUUCACCAGUAAGUACUUCAGAUUGCUAAAUUCCUUCUGCAAGCUGCCGCAAAAACUUUACAAUAUUACAAUACAAUUAAGAGACUUCAGCUAAACUAGUUCAUAGCUUAUGAUUCUAACAAAAUCCAAAUUAAAUUUCCAAACCAAUAAAAUCUCUUGACUCUAUCAAAAUAUUACCAACAUCCAGAAUAUCAAUUUCCAUAUCCUUAGAGUUGUAAUAACUUAUAACUUUCACAUCUUCUAAAUCUAAACCAUUAACUAAUGUCAAUAUCAUAAUUUGUGUCCAUUAUCAACUUACACCAUAUCAUUCACACUAAUAUUUUGUCUACCAUUCACUUACUAAAUACCAUCUUAUAGUCAAAAUCAAGCUUAGUUAUAAAACAACUUACAAACCAAAAACUAAUACUCAAUAGCAUGUCUAACUCACAUUGAACUAAUUUAUCCAAUUUAUAUCCUAUAUAUUUUAUUCUAACUCAAUCUACACCAGUUUAUUUUGAUUCCUAAAAGUCAUAACAAAAUG
rnacentral:lncRNA from 1 species